CGUAGGUGACUAGCGUUGUCCGGAUUUACUGGGCGUAAAGAGCGCGCAGGCGGUCGUUCAAGUCGAGUGUGAAAGCCCCCGGCUCAACUGGGGAGGGUCAUUCGAUACUGAUCGACUCGAAGGCAGGAGAGGGAAGCGGAAUUCCCGGUGUAGUGGUGAAAUGCGUAGAUAUCGGGAGGAACGCCAGUGGCGAAGGCGGCUUCCUGGCCUGUUCUUGACGCUGAGGCGCGAAAGCUAGGGGAGCAAACGGGAUU
rnacentral:rRNA from 1 species